rnacentral:rRNA from 1 species
GACGAACGCUGGCGGCGUGCUUAACACAUGCAAGUCGAGCGGAAAGGCCCUUCGUGGUUGUCGUGCGGCGAACGGGUGAGUAACACGUGAGUAACCUGCCCUAGGCUUUGGGAUAACCCCGGGAAAACGGGGCUAAUACCGGAUAUGACCUGGUGCCGCAUGUGGUUGGGGGGAAAGGUUUUGCGGCCUGGGAUGGGCUCGCGGCCUAUGAGCUUGUUGGUGGGGGUAUGGCCUACCAAGGCGAUGACGGGUAGCCGGCCUGAGAGGGCGACCGGCCACACUGGGACUGAGACACGGCCCAGACUCCUACGGGAGGCAGCAGUGGGGAAUAUUGCACAAUGGGCGGAAGCCUGAUGCAGCGACGCCGUGUGAGGGAUGAAGGCCUUCGGGUUGUAAACCGCUUUCGGCAGGGACGAAGCGUGAGUGACGGUACCUGAAGAAGAAGCGCCGGCUAACUACGUG